rnacentral:rRNA from 1 species
CGUUCCCGGGUCUUGUACACACCGCCCGUUACACCAUGGGAGCGGGAUGUACCAGAAGUAGGUAGGCUAACCGCAAGGGGGCCGCUUACCACGGUGCGUUUCGUGACUGGGGUG